GAGAUCGUAGCUCAGUUGGUAGAGCAACGGACUUUUAAUCCGUAGGUCCUGGGUUCAAGUCCCAGCGGUCUCA
rnacentral:tRNA from 1 species